CCCGCUGAAUUUAAGCAUAUCACUAAGUGGAGGAGAAGAAACCAACAGGGAUUUCCUUAGUAGCGGCGAGCGAAACGGGACUUAGCCCAGCACCGAAUCCCUCAUCCUUGCCGGCGAUCGGGAAAUGUGGUGUAUGGGAGGUAACGUUCCCGAGAGUUUUGCGGUGGUGCAAGUCCCCCUGACAGGCGCUUGACCCAGAGUGGGUGCCAGGCCCGUCUCCGCAACUGCUCUCUCGGGAUGGAAUCUCCCGUGGGUCGGGUUGCUUGAGAGUGCAGCCCUAAGUGGGUGGUAUACUCCAUUUAAGGCUAAGUACGUCCGAGAGACCGAUAGCUCACAAGUACCGUGAGGGAAAGUUGAAAAGAACUUUGAAGAGAGAGUUCAAGAGUACGUGAAACCGCUUAGAGUAAAACGGGUGGGCCCUCGAAGCACGAGGGCGGUGGGAUUCAGUUUCGCUGUAACGUGAAGCGGUGUCAGCGUCUUGGUUUACGGGCUCUCCCUGUGGGGGCUCGUUCCGGCUACCCGCGCGGUGCCGCGCACUACGAAACGCAUUUUCCACCGUCGGUAGGACGCGCGACGGGCACGGGUAAUCCUUUCAAGAACGAUUUUGAGUCCGGCCGCUGGAGGUGACCGGCGACGGCCCUUGUUUGGCUGUCGUGGGACUUAUACCUGGCCGGUAAUCGAGCACGUCACCCUGCCCAGGCCUCAUGGGCUACUCCCUUUGGGGAGGCCCGAAACGAUGCCCUCCGGAUGCGGAGCGGGAAACCCGGCUGGGUCAACGGGUCCCCUGCCUUACGCCAGGUAUUCGCCUGACUUUCGGUGUUGGGCUCGGAACCGGCGAGGCAGGUUCUCUCCGCGGAGGUUUUUUUGCGUCAAGGUUGGCGGCGAGUAGGUCGGUAACCCACCCGACCUGUCUUGAAACACGGACCUAGGAGUCUAACAUGUGCGCGAGUCAAUGGGUCCCUCAAAACCCAGAGGUGCAAUGAAACGUGAAGGCGCGGCCUCGUGCCGUGCCGAGUGGCGAUCCCGGGCCGCCCAGGGGUCCGAUGAAGGGAGCAGCACGGCCCGCCCCACACGCUCACGUCGUGGGGGCGGCGCUAGAGCGCACACGUUGGCACCCGAAAGAUGGUGAACUAUGCCCGGGCAGGACGAGGCCAGAGGAAACUCUGGUGGAGGUCCGAAGCGCUUCUGGCGUGCAAAUCGACGGCGACCAGGUAUAGAGGCGAAAGACUAAAACAGCACCAUCUAAGAAGGCUUCAAUAGGAGCGUUUUAUGAAAACAAAACAGAACAUAAGAAAAAGGGUUGGAUAUUGCGUGGCAUUUUUUAACAGCUAGUGGAGAAACAUAAAAAAAGUACGCUGGCGGGCGACGGGAUCACACUCAAGCCAGUGUCCUGAGUGCUGCUGCUGUGUGAUUGCUAAAAGCAAAUAAAGUUAACAGUAGUUACUACCACUUAACUACUCUAAUCUCUGAAGAGAUUGGGUAGUUAGAGGGGAUACCUUCGCGUAGGUCUUGGCUUCGUUGUCUGGUGUUUUUUGAAGUAUCAGAAAAAGAGGAAAAGUUAUUGGGAAAACGAUAUCAAUAGUUCAAGUUAUGAACUGCCUGGUUUGUGGCGGUCCGGUGAGGUUCCGUAGUACUCGUCGUUUCGUAAUUACCACCUAAGCGUAAAACACCUCCCCCCCCCACCCCCCCCCCCCCCCCCCCCCCCCCCAAAAAAAAAGCGGGAGAUGCGCUGAUUACAGAUGCAUUGAUACAACCGGUAAGAUAAUGUGACUUUAAUGUGGAGCGUAUUCAAGGUGUAUCAUGGGCACCGAUUCUGCGGGAUUCAUUCGCCGUGAAUAAAAUCUCCUGGAAACAGGAGGAUGGAGCUUGCAGGCGAGAAGUUGUAUGUUUACAGUUAAAUUCACAGAUUAUUUCCGACGAAAGUCUUGAUCGAGUGGAAACCGGUGAAGCAGUAACAUGCUGCAGCCUCAAUGCUGCAGCCUCAAUGCUGUGGCCUUACACUGCAGCAUGGGCUGAACACACCGUUGCCGCACACACUUUCUGUUUUCUUUUUAAACAACUAACGACAGCACAUUGCCGUGCGAUUGAAUUAUUUAUUGUAGACAAUAUCACCAGCAAACUUGUGCGUCAAAAUGAGCAAAACUGCUCGAAAAUUGUGGUGGCUUAAAGCGCGAUCCAAACCAACGCUCCUUUUUGCGCCUGUAGGUCGUGCGGCUGCGGAUGUGACGUAUUUUCGUGACGUCGCGCCGCUUCUUCGCUCCUUCCGGGCGCGCACAAGAAAGUUGGAUGAUUUCAACUUCUCAACGCGCACAAAAACGCGCGGUGACGUAGUAGGACGCUCCUGUGUCCCGGCCAAUCGGUGGAGGGCAAGCUAGUUCCGGCUCCGCGUUUCUCGCCGUCUGGCUGCCCUCUCCUCCCCCCCCCCCCCCCCUUUUAUUCUCUUCCAACAUGACAACGCGAUCUCUCUCUCUCUCUCUCUUUCUCUCGCCGUCUGGCCGGCCAGUCUGUCGCAGUUGCACCUUGCUUGUGCGCUUGUGCCUGCGUGCGCGCGUGCGCGCUCGCCCGAAGUUUUGCCCGUCCAAACCAAAGCGCACGGUUCUGACUCAGAAAGCGCGCCCGGAAACAGCAAAAACGCCACGAAAUGCGUCACAUCCGCAGCCGCACGACCUACAGGCGCAAAAAGAAGCGUUGGUUUGGAUCGCGCUUAACUCAGCUAUGCGUAGCGUGAGCUUAUGCGCACAAAAUGAGAUGCGCUAUCAAGCGGCUCCGGUGCAGCGUCAGACUUCACUACUGCGCAACGGAGGCGCACAGCUGGGCACACGGUGGCGCCAGUGCGUCUGCCGCGGCUAUGACGUCACUCCUCUGGAAUGCGCACACCGGCGAGGCGGGGCGCGGCAGAGCCGUAUAUGUAGAGAGUUUGGCCAUUCGUUGGGAAGUAUAGGAGACAAAUGAGGAGGCGCCAUUGGCCGAAAGCGGGCUGGGCGUGUUCCAGGGCGUCUUCAGAAGUUCGAAUGUGACGAACCAGAAGCCGGAAAUAAUACCCUGGCGGCGGGUCGCGAGAAACAAAUCUGAUAACUGCAUUAGAGUAACUCUCGAUGGCUGAAAAUAUGGUACACGUGAUGUUUCAAUCCCGCUCAUUCAAAAUGAUGGUGGAAGAGUGCGACUAGCGGAACGAUCGGCAUAAUCCGUACGCCCAGCGCCGAGGGCCGGGAGUCUGCCGUCCGAGCGGUCACACUCUGUCCGCGCAAAACAGAGUUGAGCGGCGCAUUGGUUUCUUACAUCUUUCUGCAUGAUUAUGAUCAAAACAACACGUGCACCCUAUUAUCAACCACGAAGAGUUACUACAUUUCACUCUUACGCGCUUAUUAAAACCAUUUAAGAACAUAUACCUUUGAUCAGAACUGUUUCUCGCUACCACCGCUAGGGGAUUCUUUUCGGCUUCUGGUUUGUCAAGAGAGCAUACCGAGCCCUCUUUCCAAGUCUGGUGCACACCCAGGCUCUGCCCGCGCCUCCCAUUGACCAAACUCUCUACAUACACGGCUCUGGGGCGCGGCGGCGGCGGCUCCGGCGCGCCAGCUGUGCGCCGUGUAACGUCACUGCUCCUCGCGCAUGCGCAGCACGGAGCACGGCUCAUUAUGCGAGCCACGCGAAACUGCUCAACAUCGGCCCCAGUGUAGCUCACGUUACAAACUAGCCAGAAUAAGCACCAGCGGGGGCUUCGGUAUUGCCCAGGGAACCCUCAUGCGCGCAUCGUGUAUACUCCCCACUCCGAACUUCCUUCCAAAAGAACCGAUUCGAAAAAUUGGCCGUCGACGAGUUGGCUUUCGACGAAUCGGCCUAGAACCUCAAUUCCUUUACAGUGCCUUAUUUGAGACGUGCAUUUUUUAACUUCAAAUGCUAUACGUAGGGUUCAGCGUUUUCGGGUUAAACCGAGCAUAACCGGUAAAAGUACGCUGAAUUCAUUUUUCCGAAUUCGGUCAUUAUUGAAAAGUUCAGUAUUUUCGAAGGCGUUUGGAGUGGUGUGUGUGUGUGGGGGGGGGGGGGGGGGGGGGGGGGGGGGGGGGGGGGGGGGGGGAUUUGACUGAUAACUAGGGUUUCGUGUUUUCGGAUAAAUUCGGAAAACAUCCGCCGGUAAAAGUUUCGUCUAUUCGGAUGUAUCUGAUAAACUCUGAAUUUCGAUGUGCCAAUCCCCUCCCCCCCCCCCCCCCCCCCCCCCCCCCACACACACACACACAAAUAUAUUUUACAAUUAAUGGUUAAAUCAGCGCAUAGAGUAAAUGGUCCUGGGAAAAUGCCACCACACUUAUGUUUCAAAUUUCGGUCAGGACAACAGCUCAUUGUACUAUCGGGUCAAGACAAAAGUUACUGUUUAUGUUUCCGGUUUGGGUUAUACUAUUUGUGCCUGAGAGGAAGGAGAGGUUGUGUUUUUGUAACCGUGAAAGCUAUGGACCACAGCAACUACAUAAAGUGGGGAAGAGGACAGUUGAAACUUCUCUAUCUAAUCUUUUUCCACUCUACCUCUUGCGGUCGCGCGGUAGGUUGAUGGAAUAGCAUGGAAUCAAUACAGACUUCCCAGCGACUACCUCCAGUAGUUUAUUAAUUUUAAGGCAUCGACAUUUAUCGAAAUAACACUUGUGUGCCACUUUUGUUCUAUGACAAAUUAGUAUUGCCAGUAGUAAUGGCACCAAUGCCAAAUCCAACUGAAGAAAAUAUUAAUUGAUACAAUCGCGUUUUUUUUUCGUUUUUUUUUUUUGUCCAGCAUACGUUUACAUUUAGAUAUUAUUUGUUUAAUUUUAAUAAGAAGCACUGCGAAAUUGAGCUGCGAAUUUUGGAGAAUUCGGAAUCAAACAAAAAUAAACUCCAAUAAACUCCGAAUUUUCGGCAAAAAAUAAACUCAGAAAAACACCCUCCGAACAUGACGAAAACUAAACUCCGAAAACACGGAACCCUACUCAUUACUGACCGUAUGACCACUUCUUUUCGCAGUUUUCAGCUUGUCUGCGAGAUCGGUUCAACUUUCAUCAAAAGCUGCGGGGGCGCAGGGGUCUUCAGGACAAAAUCUGGGUUUUUCAUCUGAUAGGGAUUUGUGCCGAAUUCUUUGUUCAAAGAAGAGAGUUUAAUCGUGAAAUCAAACAAUGGAAAUCAAGAACGUCCGUAAAUGCCGCGCAUUGUUUAACACCCCCAACUUCCGUCUACUAGAGGAGGGCAUAAAUACGAGUGUUUUAUUGUCAUUUAUGCCGUCGGCGCGAGUUUAUCACCUCUCGCAGUUACGAAAAGGGGGGAAAACGCACCGAGUACAAUGCUUGCUAAUUUCUCCAUUUUGAUAUUUGCCUCUCCGACCGAAGUGGUACUGAAGUUCAUGCUCGUCCUGUGUACAAAUGUGAGCACACGACGAUAAUGUCAGAUCACGAUAAUGCCCCAGUGCGUCUUACAGAACAGGUCACGUCGGCUGCCAAAGACGGCAACAAAUAAGGUCAGUCACCUGGUACUCCAUAUACAUUUUACACAAACCGCUUUUAAUUAUUGCAUUUUCGUUAGUGUACUGGUUUUCGCUAAUGAAUCGAAUAUAACUUAGAAGUUUAUGAGUCUACAAAUAUUCACCGUAAUAAACCGAAAACUUAUGUUUGGAAUAAAAACCGAAAGAAGUGCGCGGAAUUUCAAAUAAUACUAACCGAAAACGCCGAGCCCUAGUUAUAUUGUCAAUUUCAUGUUUUGACGCUGUGCUGUUUUGUUGCUGUGCUGUUUUGACGUUCGUGCUGUUUUGACGCCGUGCUGUUUUGGCACGUGCUCUUCUGUCGCUGUGCCGUUUUGACACUGUGCUGUUUUGUCGCGUGCUAUUUUGACGCGCGCUGUUUUGUCGCCGUGCUGUUUUGACGCUGUGCUGUUUUGACGCAUGCUGUUUUGACCGUGCUGUUUUGUCGCGUGCUGUUAUGUCGUGUGCUGUUCUGUCAUGGUGCCGUGUCGGAGGCCUUCAGGUCUGAGGCCUCCGGAAGCGAUGAGAGCGCCAAGUGGGCCACUUUUGGUAAGCAGAACUGGCGCUGUGGGAUGAACCAAACGCCGGAGUAAGGCGCCCGAUGCGGGACGCUCAUGAGAUCCCAUGAAGGGUGUUGGUUGCUUAAGACAGCAGGACGGUGGCCAUGGAAGUCGGAACCCGCUUAGGAGUGUGUAACAACGCACUUGCCGAAGCAACUAGCCCCGAAAAUGGAUGACGCUCAUGUGUCGAGCCUAUCCCCGGCCGCUGCCGGCAGAUGCACGCAAACAAGGGGGUGUAAGCUGCAGCGAGUAGGAGGGCCGCUGCGGCGAGCGUUGAACGUGUCGGGCGUAAGCCCGUCUGGAGCCGCCGCUGGUGCAGAUCUUGGUGGUAGUAGCAAAUACUCAAGUGAGAACCUUGAGGACUGAAGUGGAGAGGGGUUCCAUGUGAACAGCAGUUGAACAUGGGUGAGUCGGUCCUAAGGGAAAGGAGAAGUUCUUUCCGAAGCCGGAGCACUUUUUUUGCAGUGGAGAGAGCCCCGCAGUGACCGAAAGGGAAUCGGGUUAAUAAUCCCGAACCCGGACACGGAGAUUGGUCCUUCGGGGCCCAGUGCGGUAACGCAAACCAGCUCAGAGACGCCGAUUCGAGCCCCGAGAAGAGUUUUCUUUUCUCUGUAGGGAGAUCGAGUCCCUGGAAUGGGUUCGCCCCGAGAUAGAGAUGGUGGCUCCGUAGAGCAGUGCGGUUCUUGCUCUGUCCGGUGCGCUCGCGUCGGCCCUUGAAAAUCCGAGUGAGGGAGUAUGAUUUUCGUGCCGCACCGUACCCACAUCCGCAGCAGGUCUCCAAGGUGAACAGCCUCUAGAGUC
rnacentral:rRNA from 1 species